AGGAUGGGGACAACAGACGGAAACGACUGCUAAUACCGAAUAAGUUCCAAGAGCCGCAUGGCCCAUGGAAGAAAAGGUAGGCCUCUACCUGUAAGCUAUCGCCUGAAGAGGGGUUUGCGUCUGAUUAGCUGGUUGGAGGGGUAACGGCCCACCAAGGCGACGAUCAGUAGCCGGUCUGAGAGGAUGAACGGCCACACUGGAACUGAGACACGGUCCAGACUCCUACGGGAGGCAGCAUG
rnacentral:rRNA from 1 species